CCUACGGGCGGCAGCAGUGGGGAAUAUUGGACAAUGGGCGAAAGCCUGAUCCAGCCAUGCCGCGUGUGUGAAGAAGGCCUUCGGGUGGUAAAGCACUUUCAGUGGGGAAGAAAGCCUUGGGGCUAAUACCCUCGAGGAAGGACAUCACCCACAGAAGAAGCACCGGCUAACUCCGUGCCAGCAGCCGCGGUAAUAAGGAGGGUGCGAGCGUUAAUCGGAAUUACUGGGCGUAAAGCGCGCGUAGGCGGUCUGAUAAGCCGGUUGUGAAAGCCCCGGGCUCAACCUGGGAACGGCAUCCGGAACUGUCAGGCUAGAGUGCAGGAGAGGAAGGUAGAAUUCCCGGUGUAGCGGUGAAAUGCGUAGAGAUCGGGAGGAAUACCAGUGGCGAAGGCGGCCUUCUGGACUGACACUGACGCUGAGGUGCGAAAGCGUGGGUAGCAAACAGGAUUAGAUACCCUGGUAGUC
rnacentral:rRNA from 1 species